CCUACGGGGGGCAGCAGUGAGGAAUAUUGGUCAAUGGACGAGAGUCUGAACCAGCCAAGUAGCGUGAAGGAUGACUGCCCUAUGGGUUGUAAACUUCUUUUAUAUGGGAAUAAAACAGGGUAUGCAUACCCUCUUGUAUGUACCAUAUGAAUAAGGAUCGGCUAACUCCGUGCCAGCAGCCGCGGUAAUACGGAGGAUCCGAGCGUUAUCCGGAUUUAUUGGGUUUAAAGGGUGCGUAGGCGGUCUGUUAAGUCAGCGGUAAAAUUGCGGGGCUCAACCCCGUCGAGCCGUUGAAACUGGCAGACUUGAGUUGGCGAGAAGUACGCGGAAUGCGCGGUGUAGCGGUGAAAUGCAUAGAUAUCGCGCAGAACUCCGAUUGCGAAGGCAGCGUACCGGCGCCAGACUGACGCUGAGGCACGAAAGCGUGGGGAUCGAACAGGAUUAGAUACCCUAGUAGUC
rnacentral:rRNA from 1 species